UUGCGACUUGGUAGGCUGUUGGGCUUUCUGAAGAUGAGAGCUGACUAGUUGUCUCCCCAGAGGAUUCAGGAACUUCAUUACUUGUCUUUUCAUCAUUUGGAGCAGCCUCCUCAACUACCAAUUCGCCCGUCGGAGCCACCUCCACAGGUACCAACUCAUCUUUUGGAGAAGCCCCCUCAUCUACCAACUCGACAGAUGAUUCUUUUCCUUCAGUAGUCAAGGCUUCAGGACUGACCUCCACUUCUUCCACAGCUGCUUGGGUAGCACCAUCCACACUUUGUGACAAGCUUGAAGCUGCACUUUCUGGUUCGCUCUUUGUGACUUCAUCGGCUGUUGGGCUUUCUGAAGAUGAGAGCUGACUAGUUGUCUCCCCAGAGGAUUCAGGAACUUCAUUACUUGUCAUUUCAUCAUUUGGAGCAGCCUCCUCAACUACCGAUUCACCCGUCGGAGCCGCCUCCACAGGUAUCAAUUCAUCCGUUGGAGAAGCCCCCUCAGCUACCAACUCGACAGAUGAGUCACUCCCUUCAGUAGUCAAGGCUUCAGGACUGACCUCCGCUUCUUCCACAGCUGCUUGGGUAGCACCAUCUGCGCUUUGUGACAAGCUCAAAGCC
rnacentral:lncRNA from 1 species